rnacentral:rRNA from 1 species
GCCCUUAAACAUUCCCCCCAUAACUGUUAAUAAUAAAAUCAUUUUAACUUUUUAGUAGAGGCGAUCGAAAAAUUACUAGGAGCCUAAGAAAUAGUACCGCAAGGGAAAAAUGAAAUAAAGUGAAAGACUAUAAAGCUUAUUACAGCAGAGACCUCAACUCGUACCUUUUGCAUCAUGGUCCGGCCAGUUUUACCAGGCAAAAUGAAUCUUCAGUCUGGCCCCCCGAAACUAAGCGAGCUACUUCAAAAUAACCUAGAGAGCCAACCCGUCUCUGUAGCAAAAGAGUGGGAAGAUUUUUAAGUAGCGGUGAAAAGCCUAACGAGCUUAGAGAUAGCUGGUUGUUCAAAAAAAGAAUAUAAGUUCCACCUUAAAUUUUCCUAUGUUGAUAAACAAAUCUCAAAAUUUAAGAGCUAUUCAAUUAAGGCACAGCUUGAUUGAAUCAGGAUACAACCUCAACACUAGGGUAAAAUAACUCAAACAAAUAAGUAGGCCUAACAGCAGCCACCUUUUAAAAAGCGUUAAAGCUUAAUCUUUCCCCAUUUUUAAUUCCAUAAAACUAAAUGACCCCUUACUUAAUAUUGAAUGACUUCAUAACUUUAUGAAAAUCAUCAUGCUGGAACUAGUAACAAGAACUUAACAUUCUCCAAAAUGUAAACAUAAACUAAAAUGGACUGUCCACUAGUAAUUAACGUAAAUGAAACUAAUACACCAACAACCUAAGAAAAACCUGUAUAUCCACCACAACGUUAACCUGACACAAGAACACUUAUGGAAAGAUUUAAAGAAAAAGAAGGAACUCGGCAAACUUUAACCCCGCCUGUUUACCAAAAACAUCGCCUCUUGAUAAAGUAUAAGAGGUCCAGCCUGCCCAGUGAAAAUUCAACGGCCGCGGUACACUGACCGUGCAAAGGUAGCAUAAUCAUUCGCCCCUUAAUUAGGGGCCUGUAUCAACGGCAUCUCGAGGGUUACUCUGUCUCCUUUUUCUAAUCAGUGAAACUGAUCUACCCGUGAAAAAGCGGGUAUUUAACUAUAAGACGAGAAGACCCCAUGGAGCUUCAAACCAAAAGCAAAUUAAACUUAUACACCACUAUAACCUCUAUAUGAUGCUUAUCGGUUUUAGGUUGGGGCAACCGCGGAGAAAAAUUUAACCUCCACAACGAAAAGACCUUAGUCUUUAUCCCAGAGCAACCACUCUAAGAACUAGGAUACUAACGGAUAAUGAUCCAAUUCUUUGUAAUUGAUCAACGGACCAAGUUACCCUGGGGAKARGCAGCGCAAUCUWCUUUGAGAGUUCUUAUUGACAAGUGGGUUUACGACCUCGAUGUUGGAUCAGGGUAUCCUAGUGGUGCAGCCGCUACUAAAGGUUCGUUUGUUCAACGAUUAAAAC